AUUGAACGCUGGCGGCAGGCCUAACACAUGCAAGUCGAGCGGAUGAGGAAAGCUUGUUUUUCGAUUCAGCGGCGGACGGGUGAGUAAUGCCUAGGAAUCUGCCUGUUAGUGGGGGAUAACUCGGGGAAACUCGGGCUAAUACCGCAUACGUCCUACGGGAGAAAGUGGGGGAUCUUCGGACCUCACGCUAACAGAUGAGCCUAGGUCGGAUUAGGUAGUAGGUGAGGUAAUGGCUCACCUAGGCGACGAUCCGUAACUGGUCUGAGAGGAUGAUCAGUCACACUGGAACUGAGACACGGUCCAGACUCCUACGGGAGGCAGCAGUGGGGAAUAUUGGACAAUGGGCGAAAGCCUGAUCCAGCCAUGCCGCGUGUGUGAAGAAGGUCUUCGGAUUGUAAAGCACUUUAAGUUGGGAGGAAGGGUAUUCACCUAAUACGUGGGUACUUUGACGUUACCAACAGAAUAAGCACCGGCUAACUCUGUGCCAGCCGCCGCCGUAAUAC
rnacentral:rRNA from 1 species